CAAUGUGUACAUAUGUGUGUGUGUGUGUGUGAAAUGAGCCCUGUCCGUGAAUCCAGUCAAGUCCAGUACGUGCAUUUGCGAUCGGACCUGGUGUGUGUGCCGAUUCCUUCUUAAGGCACGCAGCAAAUUUCCGGCUCGGCCUGCCAACCGAUCGCCAACCGCUCCAACCGUGUCAACUACCAAAGGCGAACAAAACUUCUCGGCGGCGAACUGAUUGUAAGGGUGAUACCGACCCGUACUUACAUACACACGGUCCACGUCAGGUCGUUCCUCUCGAUCUACCUGCAGGCCGUUGAACGACACGCACCGACAUUCGGGGAUGUUGGUAUACGUGGUUCGGGCCUACAGAAGGCAGGUUCACACGCGCGAUGCCAGCUCUGGCGGGGGGGUCUGGCGCCGCAGUGCCGAACCCCCGAAAAAACUCAGGGCGCACAGACAGACGGCGAGCCGGAAGAGGACUGCGCCGCGGCCUUCCCCCCCCCCCCCGGGCUCAAGGAGAACCAACAGCCAAACUCAUCUGUCUUUGUUGAGGCAGAAGCAAGGUAUGACAGGCAAGAUCCCUGGGGGAGGACAUGCCGACAGCAGCGGCGGCGGCGCUAUACCAUCCAGAAAGGUAUCCUCGUCUCCUUCCCGCCCUCUACCUUGAUGGAAAUAAAAUCUCGGUUCAGCAGCUCCGCCACCUCCUCGCUUUCAAAGGACUCCCGCUCCAUCACAUGGCACCUGCUCCAUGAGAAGGGCGGCAACAGCACCCAGCAACAGCGCACAGCAGCAGCCAGGAGCAGCAGCCAGCAGCCAGGAGCAAGUUAAGAACGUGGCGUGCGACCAUGCCCGUCCAUUCUUGCCUUGCGCGACCGUUGCAGGGCACCGUAUGGCAUGGAAUGGCGGUUUAGCAUGCCCCGGAGCACAACAUGUUGUUUGCGCACUCAGCGGAGAGCUCUCGCAUCGUAAUCGGUCGUAGCUGCCAAGCAGUAUACACAGACCCCACGCACUCGUCCAUGCCGUACCCACGCGCCCUCAGGACCGCCGCACGAACGCUGGCCUGCUCUGGUCUUCACACCCACCAGUGGCAGGUGGCGUAUCCAACACUGAGAAAAAUGGGCUUGUCCUCCGCACGCGCGCGAGCAAACGCCUCCUCGCCCCAUGGAUACCAGUCGACCUGUUUUACGGGUCGCGUGUGGUGCAUUCACAAGGAUGAAUGGAUGGGCUGUGUAGGUAGGUGAAUGCGUGGAUGGGUGGGUAUGGAUGAUGAAUGCUCAUAUCGACUGAAUCCCGAUCAUCGCGUACGUCAGCUCUAGAAGCCGACAGUGCAAAUUGCGAGCAUGACAUGUCCUCACGGCACAUGCGCACGUGCGUUGACAACUGUCCAGGCCUCUGCUGAGAGCGCACAAAUGUACACGUACACUCAUGCGAUUUGGGUUUUUCAGCGCUUACUUCGCAUUUGCGUUUGAGCAUGCCUUCUCAGAUAGUGUAGCAUGGCUGCAUCUAUUCGGGAUGUGGGUUUAGAUGUUUCCAUUUGUAAAUUCGGCUUAGCUGCACCGAGCUGUACAAGUUGCUCCGAAACCAAAACCGUUAUAAUACAUGCAACAUGGACAGGUCACAGCGAGGCCAAGGCACAACCGUAGUAGGGAUGCGCAAACCGCUGCUGUGUGCAAAUCGCUGCGACCCAAAUUAUUGUGGGAGGUGCCCCGGACCAGGGCAGGCACCCAU
rnacentral:lncRNA from 1 species